rnacentral:rRNA from 1 species
AUUGAACGCUGGCGGCAGGCCUAACACAUGCAAGUCGAGCGGAUGAAGGGAGCUUGCUCCUGGAUUCAGCGGCGGACGGGUGAGUAAUGCCUAGGAAUCUGCCUGGUAGUGGGGGAUAACGUCCGGAAACGGGCGCUAAUACCGCAUACGUCCUGAGGGAGAAAGGGGGGGAUCUUCGGACCACACGCUAUCAGAUGAGCCUAGGACGGAUUAGCUAGUUGGUGGGGUAAAGGCCUACCAAGGCGACGAUCCGUAACUGGUCUGAGAGGAUGAUCAGUCACACUGGAACUGAGACACGGUCCAGACUCCUACGGGAGGCAGCAGUGGGGAAUAUUGGACAAUGGGCGAAAGCCUGAUCCAGCCAUGCCGCGUGUGUGAAGAAGGUCUUCGGAUUGUAAAGCACUGUUAGUUGGGAGGAAGGGCAGUAAGUUAAUACCUUGCUGUUUUGACGUUACCAACAGAAUAAGCACCGGCUAACUUCGUG